rnacentral:misc_RNA from 1 species
GAAGGCAUAGAGAUCAUUGUUUCAGUUGGGAUGACAAUGCCACAAUUGAUAUCUUCUAUAGAAAGGAUUCCUCAUCAGAGCAAUAGGAUCCCUCUUAGCAGAAUUAACCAGAAAUAUGUCACUGACAAUCCUAAAGGUGACAAAGAAAGUCACAUUGUGUUUUCCUUGGCCAGAUCUAUUUUUUUAGAGAUUUAGUUGGUCAGAGAAUACAGCGCACAUAUGGAAAGGUGAAACCAUGUAAACUCGGUAUGACAACACAUGUAUAUUUCAUCUUAUCGAUUUGCUAGUGUAAGAAAGUGCUGGGUACCCCAGUUUGACUCUGGAUAAAGGCAGUCAUAUUCAUAGAAUGUGCCAAAUAUCCACUUCUAUUCUGUACAAAGGUCACAAGAAAUGCCACACACUUCUUUUAUUUUGCAUAAAGAUUCACCCCC